rnacentral:rRNA from 1 species
CCUACGGGCGGCAGUGGGGGAUAUUGCACAAUGGGGGGAACCCUGAUGCAGCGACGCCGCGUGGGUGAAGGAGCGUUUCGGCGCGUAAAGCUCUAUCAGCAGGGAAGAAAUUGACGGUACCUGACUAAGAAGCCCCGGCUAACUACGUGCCAGCAGCCGCGGUAAUACGUAGGGGGCAAGCGUUAUCCGGAUUUACUGGGUGUAAAGGGAGCGUAGACGGCGCGGCAAGUCUGAAGUGAAAGGCAGGGGCUUAACCCCUGAACUGCUUUGGAAACUGCCAUGCUAGAGUGCUGGAGAGGUAAGUGGAAUUCCUAGUGUAGCGGGGAAAUGCGUAGAUAUUAGGAAGAACACCAGUGGCGAAGGCGGCUUACUGGACAGUAACUGACGUUGAGGCUCGAAAGCGUGGGGAGCAAACAGGAUUAGAUACCCUUGUAGUC